GAUGAACGCUGGCGGCGUGCCUAAUACAUGCAAGUCGAACGCUGGGAAUCUAGCUUGCUAGAUUGAAGGAGUGGCGAACGGGUGAGUAAUACAUAAGCAACCUACCCACGAAGACUGGGAUAAUCUCUGGAAACGGGGACUAAUACCGGAUAGGUAAUCGGAAGGCAUCUUCUGAUUAUUAAAGGUUAAAAACACUGGUGGAUGGGCUUAUGGCGCAUUAGUUAGUUGGUGAGGUAACGGCCCACCAAGACGAUGAUGCGUAGCCGGCCUGAGAGGGUGAACGGCCACAUUGGGACUGAGACACGGCCCAGACUCCUACGGGAGGCAGCAGUAGGGAAUUUUCGGCAAUGGGGGAAACCCUGACCGAGCAACGCCGCGUGAGUGAUGACGGCCUUCGGGUUGUAAAGCUCUGUUGUAAGGGAAGAACGGUAGAUAGAGAAUAUCUAAAUGACGGUACCUUACCAGAAAGCCACGGCUAACUACGUG
rnacentral:rRNA from 1 species